rnacentral:rRNA from 1 species
AGACCCGAAACCCGGUGAUCUAGCCAUGGGCAGGUUGAAGGUUGGGUAACACUAACUGGAGGACCGAACCGACUAAUGUUGAAAAAUUAGCGGAUGACCUGUGGCUGGGGGUGAAAGGCCAAUCAAACCGGGAGAUAGCUGGUUCUCCCCGAAAGCUAUUUAGGUAGCGCCUCGUGAAUUCAUCUCCGGGGGUAGAGCACUGUUUCGGCUAGGGGGCCAUCCCGGCUUACCAACCCGAUGCAAACUGCGAAUACCGGAGAAUGUUAUCACGGGAGACACACGGCGGGUGCUAACGUCCGUCGUGAAGAGGGAAACAACCCAGACCGCCAGCUAAGGUCCCAAAGUCAUGGUUAAGUGGGAAACGAUGUGGGAAGGCCCAGACAGCCAGGAUGUUGGCUUAGAAGCAGCCAUCAUUUAAAGAAAGCGUAAUAGCUCACUGGUCGAGUCGGCCUGCGCGGAAGAUGUAACGGGGCUAAACCAUGCACCGAAGCUGCGGCAGCGACACUCAGGUGUUGUUGGGUAGGGGAGCGUUCUGUAAGCCUGCGAAGGUGGCCUGUGAGGGUUGCUGGAGGUAUCAGAAGUGCGAAUGCUGACAUAAGUAACGAUAAAGCGGGUGAAAAGCCCGCUCGCCGGAAGAC